UUUGGAGCCAGCCCAUUUAAUUACAGAGUCCACAUCCACACUAGCCUAACCCUAAAUAUCCUUCUCCGAUCUCCUCCCGUCCCCAACUAUCAGCCACCGCCGCUCCACCUAUCGUCCCCGCGCUUCUCCAUGUCGUUGCCGGCAGCGCCAGCGCUGAACCACCCCGCAUCGGAGCCCUGCCCUACUACCCCACGCCAUGCCCCUCCCCAUUCAGACCACCCCCUUGAGCUACGGCGGCCCGGUCCUACCCCUGAGCCAUGGCGGCAGUGGCGGCGGCUGGACAAAGUGCCGGAUUUGGAAGUCCCCGAGGUCACCGGCUGCGGGAGUGCUGGAUUUGGAAGUCCCUUAGGUUGCCGGCGGCGGGAACGGAUCCAUCUCCAUCCGGCGGCGAGCGAAGGCGAGUUACAGGAGGUGGCUACAGUGCCCUGGAUCCAGAGUAGAUGGACGGCCCUUGUGGCCGGGUCCAAUUGUCCGCCAGCCACGCCGACGUUAGUCCCCUCAUCAUCGCGGCCGUCUUCUCCAUCCGUGGCGCGCGUCUCCUCAAGGCAAUGCUGUGGAGGUAAUAUUUCACCGAAGGUAAUAUUGUGAUGUAGUGUAGCUAGUAAAAUAAAGUUCAUUCAGAGUUUGCUUUUAAAACAUCUGAUUUAGAGGCUAAAGCAGAGGAGAAAUAGCUAAGUCAGCUAGCUUAAACAAACAGAGGAGAAUCCUUUGUGUUUCAUAUUCUUAGAGCAAGUCAGCUGAAACUCUGAAAACUUAGGGUGGACAUUGGCGAGUGCAUUCUUAUUUGUUCUUUUCCUGAUAGUUUUUUGUAACAAAAUAAUACUAAUCUGGAAACAACCAAACAGUACACUUAAGGGAUACAUUUUCCAUACCCACUGAUUCAUCUACCCGAUCUAUACAUAUAAACCAGACAUUUUUUGUGACUGCAUACGUCUAUACUCAAUAGUAAUAUUUUCCCCAUCCUCGUUGAUUUGUAAAGGGAGAGCACAUAAAUAUUUUGCAGAGGCGCACUAUGCAUCUGAUAAAUAAGCAAAAUUAUGAUUUUAAAAAGGCAAUGUAAAAAUAUCCUCUAGAGAAAAUGUUAGUGUAUAGCUAUGGCGUGUUUUAGUUUGUACUGAUAAUCUGUUACCACGUCUAAAAUUGGCUCAUAGACAUUCUUUUGUUUUUACUGAUAUGUAUUGUUAUCGUAUAAACAGGGAUCUUUUGUUGUUGUUGAAAGCAAGGUAUUACUAACUGACAAGUUCCAUCGAUUGUGUGUCUCCUCAAGACAAUGUUCAUAAAGUCGCUGCUUCUGCCAACUUCUGCCUUGCCGCUGCAUGGAGUCGCCUCGCCGCCACCAUAGCCGCCCAUCGUCACUUUCCAGCAAGGUGCACACACGCACCCAACAUCCAUCCAUCCCCAGGGGAGAUCAGCAUGUGAACAACCACGGCCAUUUCUCUUAGCCAGCACAAGCAGUGCCAUCGGCAGUCAAGACAAGCAGCCAACAACUGGAGAAAGUCCUGAAUCUGAUAUGUCUGCAGAAGAAGACAAGCUGUGUGGUAGUUCAUGUUUUUGACUUAUAGUCAGUACAUCUCCCACCUGAUCGACGCCGAUGCCACAGUCCUCGAGCAGAACAGGGUGAGCUUCAUACCGUUCCAUUCUUGAUGUGAAUUAUUCAGGCUGUAGAUUUUGAGCUGUUCAAGAUGUGGACUGUUGUGUGGCUCCAGUAAAAUUAUAACUGUACAGAUAUUUUUGUGUACAUAAAAUCUGCAUUGUACAAUCUCCCUGAUGUUAUGCAUUUUAUUGAUACUCCACUGGAGUUGCUAUCUCUUGGUGUUCAUGGGUUCUGAGUCUGACAGUACAGAUUUUGAAUUUUUCAUGUAAUAACAAGUAAUACGCUUAGUACUCCACAAUUAAACUAUUAGUGCGGGAGGUCUCUUAGUGAAACUGUAUCAUAUUCUGUGUUAAUAUUUUGCAUGCCAUUUGAAGUUCACUUGGCAAGCAAGUAUUGUUUAGUACUGUAUUUGUUGGUGCUUUGAGAUGAAAUUGCAGCAUAAACAUCGAGUUAGAUGAAAAAUCCUUCGGCGCUGAUUCCGAUUUAAACAUUGAGUUAAUAUAUUCUGUACAAGCCUAUGUUUAUGCCCAAUUUGUGUUAAUUAUCUUGAGUUAGUCUAUCACUUCUUUACUAACAUUCUUGUUUGUUAAGGAAUGGUGUGGUACAGUGUCUAAUUUUCAGCUGAUCGCUUGUAUAGAAAAUUUUAAUCCAGAAAAACCAAGUACUUGUAUAGGCAUGCACAGCUUCCUCUCACUAAAAAAACUAAGUGCUUGUCUCUCUCGCUUUUGUUCACAUUUCUUUUAGAGUACAGAAAUGUUUGAUCCAGAUAAACUGAAUACAUGUACAGGCACACAACUUCCUCUCACAUAAAAAACUAAGUGCUUGUCUCUCUCACUUUUGUUCACAUUUCUUUUAGAGUACAAAAAUGUUUAUCCAGAUAAACUACAUACCUGUACAGGCACACAACUUCCUCUCACAAAAAAAACUAAGUACUUGUCUGUAUCAUGUUUGUUUGCAUUCUUCUUUGAGAAAUCUCAUGUUUGUUUGCUAGGCGAGAAAAUAGACAGCUCCCAGUCUGGUUAUCCCCACACACUUACUGUUUGUUCGGUCCAGAACCAAUGGCUGAACCAACUGCUGCACUUUUAGUUCUGUGAUGUGUGUUUGUUACUUGUCACUUGUAGGCUAACUUGAUUAUACUUUCAUUUGACACACUUUUCUUUGGAGUAGUUAUGCUUGUUUUCACGUGUGUUGCCCACAUUUACGUGGUACCUUAGUAUAGUAGUGGUGUGCCCACAGGUGAUUGCUUGGAAAAUCAACUAAUAUUACUAUUUGGAUUCAUUUGGGAGCUUGCUUUUAUAACAUAUUAUAAUUUUGAAUGUGUUCUGAUUCUACACAGGUUUGGUAGUUAAUCCAUGUUACUGGAGAUUGAAGUUUUUUAGCAGGAAUUACUUGGCUUCGGAUAGCUGCCUUCAAUCGUUGCUGUCGUUGGAGAUUAAAAUAUGUUAGCAGUGCAUUUUCUUUUAAGUCAUGUAACUCACUCCUUAAAAAACCUUAUAGUGCUUUCUAGAUAUGCUCGUGAUGUUUUGAUAUUAGCUUUGCUUUUUCAAAUCAGAUUAGAUUGUUGGAAAUCUGUAUUCUCAUGUAAACUAUUGCUAUUUUUGAAGGAAUGUAGUUUGGUUGUCUUGUUGUAAA